AAGAAGGUGAUAGACCUGUACGGGUGGUGAGAUGGUCGGUUGGUUGCUCCUUGGAGUCGGGUUGCCUGGGAUCGCAGCCCAAAGUUGGUGGUAGACCUCAUCUAAGGCUAAAUAUGGCCACGAAACCGAUAGCAAACAAGUACCGUGAGGGAAAGUUGCAAAGAACUUUGAAGAGAGAGUUCAAGAGGGCGUGAAACCGCUGAGAUUGAAACGGAUAGAGUUGACGGAACUCGGCUGCAUUCAUUCGGUCGGCCUAGCGGCCCGAUGGGACUGACUUCCUCGAUGAGGGCAGUUUUGUCGGUAGCUGUUGGGUGCUUGAUCGGUGUAUUUGCGGCUGGUAUGCGCUGAGAGCCUUGUGGACGAAUGUUGAAGGGCGCGUAGUGGACCAUUCCUUACGGGUGUGGAACCCUCCGUGCUUUGAGGCAUGUUGGCCAUGAGGCUUAAAAUUUGCGUCUCCGCUAUGGUGCGUCGGCCUUGUUGAGCUGUUGCUGCCGUGGUAUGGUCGCGUGCGACCUGCUGUAGUUGGCGAUGGCGUGACAGGUGCGGACGCGUUGAGACGUGCAUCUCGGUGUGAA
rnacentral:rRNA from 1 species